rnacentral:rRNA from 1 species
AUUGAACGCUGGCGGCAUGCCUUACACAUGCAAGUCGAACGGCAGCAUGGGUGCUUGCACCUGAUGGCGAGUGGCGAACGGGUGAGUAAUGCAUCGGAACGUACCCGGAAGUGGGGGAUAACGUAGCGAAAGUUACGCUAAUACCGCAUAUUCUGUGAGCAGGAAAGAGGGGGAUCGCAAGACCUCUCGCUUUCGGAGCGGCCGAUGUCAGAUUAGCUAGUUGGUGAGGUAAAGGCUUACCAAGGCGACGAUCUGUAGCGGGUCUGAGAGGAUGAUCCGCCACACUGGAACUGAGACACGGUCCAGACUCCUACGGGUGCUG